rnacentral:tRNA from 1 species
AGGCGUAUAGAAAAGUGGAAAUUCACUUGGCCGCAACCCAAGCACCGGGGGUUCGAGUCCCUCUACGCCUUCCA